AAGGAUCAUUAUCGAGUUUUGACCGGGUUGUAGCUGGCCUUCCGAGGCAUGUGCACGCCCUGCUCAUCCACUCUACACCUGUGCACUUACUGUGGGCUUCAGAUUGCGAGGCACGCUCUUUACCGGGCUUGCGGAGCAUAUCUGUGCCUGGGUUUAUCACAAACUCUAUAAAGUAACAGAAUGUGUAUUGCGAUGUAACACAUCUAU
rnacentral:misc_RNA from 1 species